rnacentral:rRNA from 1 species
UACGUAGGGGGCGAGCGUUAUCCGGAAUUAUUGGGCGUAAAGCGCACGCAGGCGGUCCGCCAAGUUUGGAGUGACAGUUGAUGGCUCAACCAUCAAAGUACUUCAAAAACUGGCAGACUUGAGAGCGAGAGAGGAACAUGGAACUCCAGGUGGAGUAGUGAAAUGCGUAGAUAUCAGGAGGAACACCGGUGGCGAAGGCGGGUCUCUGGGCCGAUAUUGACGCUGAGGAGCGAAAGCGUGGGGAGCAAACAGG